rnacentral:lncRNA from 1 species
UUGAAUGUUAAUCUUGGGUGUAAAGAUUGUAAUGCCUUUAUGUACCUUGGAGCACAUAUGUUAAGGUUAAUCCUAAGUGUCAAAAUUGUAAUGCAUUUGUGUACCCCAUAUUUUUCUUUAGUGAAUGUUAGUUUUCUUCCACCUCUUCUUGAUUGUUGUUCUUCUUUUUAUGUGCUUGUAAGUCUUGGGCUAGUAUAACAUUGUUACACUAGUUGAGAAGUGGAUUGUUCCGGUAUUGUGGUAUCUGUCU